CUAGGAAUUCUAACAUUCCAGACUCUUUUUUUAUCAAAAAAAAAAAAAAAAAUGGCGGGUAAACGGGAAUGGGGUGCCGUGUCCCCCAAAACUGCUUCUAGCUGACUUGGUGGGUGUCAGUUAACUUUUGAGGGUAAGGAAGGGGGCUUUUGAGGUAGCUGGACAUCCUGAGAUGGUUGAUUGUCCUCCGCUGCCUUGGGAAUCAUCCAUUGCCUUCUGCUGCUCUGUGUAAUCAUUCGUUGCUGCUUGGAUCUGACUGUUUGGGUCCAACAAGGUGCUGAGCAAGGCCAGCAAUCUGGAUACCAGUGAAGUGGUCAAGGCCAUGGCAAGACUCUCCUGUGAUGAUCCUGGUACAGAAGCUCGCUGGAAGAAUAUUAAAAAGAACACAUCGGACGGAUGGACUGGUGGCUGCAGUUAUUAUGGGGAUCACUGCAUUGACAGCUACAGCAGCAACAGCUGGAGCACUUCAUAAAGAAAUCCAAAUCGCUGAGUUCAUUAGAGACUGGCAGAGACAUUCAGAAGAACUUUGGACUGAACAAAAAAGAAAUUAAAGAAGCUUUUGCAAAAACAGUUAACUGAUAUGACAGGAAAGGACAUUAUGAGCCUUCCAAGGAUACAAAGGCCUAUGCAAAACUUCGUUCAAGAAACCUGGAAAACUGUGGUACCUGAUGAAUCGAGGGAUUUGCACUUGGCAUUGUGUUUUGGCAUUGUAUUGAAGUCUCGUCAAUAUGGAUAUCUGAACAUGACAGUUCAUAAGGAUGGCACCAAUAGACAUGGAAGGGGGAAUGUUUAUGAGGACCCAACCCUAGAUAAAGAACUACAGACAACUGGGGAGUUCUGAGAGGAGAAAUAGUCUUUUCCAGAGAAGAGUACACUGAUUGGUCAUCCAAUACAAAUCAACCCUGAGAACACACACACAAGUACCAUUAUAUAGAUGGAGCAAGGAUAUUUAGGAAUAUAAUAUAUAUUUCUUGUAUAUAUAUGGAACACACACACACACACACACACACACACACACACACACACACACACACAAUAACAUCAGUUAAAGAAAAGGUGGCCAUGAAUUUGAGAAAGAGCAAGGGAGGUACAUGGGAGGAAUAGGAGGGCUAUCAUAUAUAUAUGACUCAUACAGUUCUAAAGUGAGGUUCCAUAAGACUCAAGAAGUCCUAACUGGAAAUACUCUAUAUAAAGCGGGGGGCGGGGGGGCCCCCCGCUCCUUAAGACUCAGGAAGUAAACAGGCCACCAACCUUGGGGACUACCCUCUCAUUCCCCAAGGUCACAUGAACAGUAGGGGGUGAUGAAGAGGGGAGACUUUUCAUCCUGUCCAGCUGCUUACAGGUCCUGCAGAGAGCUCCAGUCUUCAAGCUGUCAUGUGCUGGGAUAGACUUUUGGUGAUGUGGUUGCUUUUGAGUUGUCCGGCUCCUGUAAGAGAGCCCUCACCCAUAUUCCUGUAAGUGACCCUAGUAAACUCAU